GUCGGUAUAGCACAAUGGCAGUGCGCCGCCUUGCCAAGGCGUGGAUGCGGGUCCGAUUCCCGUUACUGACUCCA
rnacentral:tRNA from 1 species